CGGAUGUGGCGGAAUUGGUAGACGCGCCAGACUUAGGAUCUGGUGCCGCAAGGCAUGGGGGUUCGAGUCCCUUCAUCCGC
rnacentral:tRNA from 1 species